rnacentral:rRNA from 1 species
UACGGAGGGUGCAAGCGUUAUCCGGAUUUACUGGGUUUAAAGGGUGCGUAGGCGGGCCCCUAAGUCAGUGGUGAAAGCUCCGAGCUUAACUCGGAAACUGCCAUUGAUACUAUAGGUCUUGAAUUCGGUCGAGGUUGGCGGAAUGUGUCGUGUAGCGGUGAAAUGCUUAGAUAUGACACAGAACACCGAUUGCGAAGGCAGCUAGCUAGACCGACAUUGACGCUGAGGCACGAAAGCGUGGGGAUCAAACAGG